CCCUGAGACAAAGAACCUGGGUUUCUCUCUGUAUGUGCUUUCAUGUCCCAUUACUUGGCUCAAACUUCCAUCUAGCACCUGGCAAAAUAGAACCUGCUGACCAGCGGGGCCUCCUCAAGGAGGCUCCAACUUAACAUUGAGCUCUGUGAGAAAGUGGAAGCAAAAUACCAGUGAGAAGCAAUAGCGGUCUCGUCUGCCCAGGAGCAGAGUGUACAGGUUGGCUUUCACGGUCUCCUGGAGCCCCACUGCACAUGUGCCUGCAGAUCACUGGCAGCUCCCAGAGAGAAGCUGGGGGAAGCUUCUGAUCCCUGGGGCCCACAAGGGUAAUGCUCUCUCUGUCUGGGACGUAGAUCCCAGGCCUCCUGCAUCCAGAGUUUCCAGGAUGGCUUCUGCAUCAACUUCUAAAUAUAAUUCACACUCCUUGGAGAAUGAGUCUAUUAAGAGGACGUCUCGAGAUGGAGUCAAUCGGGAUCUCACUGAGGCUGUUCCUCGACUUCCGGGAGAAACACUAAUCACUGACAAAGAAGUUAUUUACAUAUGUCCUUUCAAUGGCCCCAUUAAGGGAAGAGUUUACAUCACAAAUUAUCGUCUUUAUUUAAGAAGUUUGGAAACGGAUUCUUCUCUAAUACUUGAUGUUCCUCUGGGUGUGAUCUCGAGAAUUGAAAAAAUGGGAGGCGCGACAAGUAGAGGAGAAAAUUCCUAUGGUCUAGAUAUUACUUGUAAAGUA
rnacentral:lncRNA from 1 species